UACAGAGGUCCCGAGCGUUGUUCGGAUUCAUUGGGCGUAAAGGGUGCGUAGGCGGCGGGGAAAGUCUGAUGUGAAAUCCUGGGGCUCAACCCUGGAACUGCAUUGGAUACUUCCUUGCUAGAGUACUGGAGAGGAAACUGGAAUUUACGGUGUAGCGGUGAAAUGCGUAGAUAUCGUAAGGAAGACCAGUGGCGAAGGCGGGUCUCUGGACAGUUCCUGACGCUGAGGCACGAAGGUCAGGGGAGCAAACGGG
rnacentral:rRNA from 1 species